CUAACUUAGUGCUAUUUUUGCAUUGAUCAUGAUAGGAGCAUUUUUCUUUUUUUCUUUUUUUUUGAUGGGCAAUCACACAGUGGAUUUAUAAAAAUGAGACUACAGAACAUCAGACGGAAGCUUCAACACGUGAGAGGACAUCAUCAAUAAAGAAUGCCAUUGACCAAACCUUCAGUCAUCAAAGGAGAUGGAUACAGGUGGACAUCGAGUUUUCCAGACUUACCGAUAGGAAAGAAGACAUGUUUAUCAGGAAAUGGGAGGUGACAAUUAUUGAGAAACUCAGGGAAAUAGCAUCUUUAGAGAAGAAAAUGGACAUCAGACAUUCAUUGACGAAAGCUGACAGUCAACAUAAUGAUGAGCUGUUUUAUACUCGUUCAUCUUCUGCUGUGUGAAUUCUGCUGUCUCAGACCUGAGGGACUUGGUGGCGG